UACGUAGGGGGCAAGCGUUGUCCGGAUUCAUUGGGCGUAAAGAGCGUGUAGGCGGCCAGGUAGGUCGGUUGUGAAAACUGGAGGCUCAACCUUCAGAGGUCGACCGAAACCAUCUGGCUAGAGUCCGGGAGAGGAGAGUGGAAUCCUGGUGUAGCGGUGAAAUGCGCAGAUAUCAGGAAGAACACCCGUGGCGAAGGCGGUGGUCUGGGCCGGCACUGACGCUGAGGAGCGAAAGCGUGGGGAGCAAACAGG
rnacentral:rRNA from 1 species